rnacentral:rRNA from 1 species
UACGGAAGGGGCAAGCGUUGUUCGGAAUCAUUUGGCGUAAAGGGCGCGUAGGUGGUUCUGUAUGUCUACCGUGAAAGCAUACAGCUCAACUGUAUUUUGUCGGUAGAAACUGCAGGACUUGAGGCUGGGAGGGGCUGGUGGAAUUCCCCGUGUAGCGGUGAAAUGCGUAGAGAUGGGGGAGAACACUCGUGGCGAAGGCGGCCAGCUAGACCAGUUCUGACACUGAGGCGCGAAAGCGUGGGGAGCGAACAGG